rnacentral:misc_RNA from 1 species
AACACUGUUAACCUGCGGUACCUGCGGAGGGAUCAUUAAUGAAUAACUUGGUCAAGUUGUUGCUGGUCCUUUGGGACAUGUGCACGCUUGCCACCAUUUUAACCACCUGUGCACCUUUUGUAGACUUGGAAACGCUUUCUCGAGGCAACUCGGAUUGAGGAUUGCUGCGCAACAGCCAGCUAUUCUUGUGUUUCUCGGUCUAUGUUUUAUAACACUCCUAACGUAUGUAAACGAAUGUAU